GUUUGAUUAACAACCUUCAAGAUAAUUUUACAACACUUUCGAAAGACAGUAUGGGUAUGCCGACACAUCUCCAUUUAUCCCGAGCGCUAAUCUCAUUCCAAAUAUCAAAAUCAAUCAAUGAGUCGUAAAUCUUCAAAAAAACAAAACCUUUCACAUUCGAUUUAUAGCACUCGCCAUCGACCGGAAUCAGUCGUGAAACAAUAAAUUUACGACAGUCUGAAUUCGUUUAUUGAUGUUAACUGGGCCUCGUUAGGCAAGGCCUCGAUUUUCAGCUAGUGAGAAGAAACGAAGCCAAUUUGUUCAUGUCUCUUGCGCCACGGCUCUUCAGUAUAAAUUAUUAGACAUAAAUAUUAAUCGGAUCGGAUUGAUCCAAUUCUAUAUGCACGAAAUGCUGUUGCGAUUUUCGAGUGUGAAAAUCUAUACGCACAAAUAAUUUGCUGUCUGUGAAAUGGAAAUAGAAAAAAAAAAAAAAAAAAAAACAACUGAGCAAAAAUUUGUUUA